AGGGAGCUUUGACAUGUGUUCUUCCUACAGAGCAAGAAAUCUGGGGACCUCAGAAUUUUAUAGCCCUUUCCCAGCUCCUGUAGACCCAGAAAUGAACUCACACAAGAUCUACUGAUGCUGUCUUAGGAAUAGAAGGGUAAACUCUAAGGACAUGUCAUGAAUUCCUGAGCCUCAAUAAAUCUGUG